GAUCUAGGGCAUAACACUUACAGGAAGUACUCGCGAUUUGUAGUACUACGUCAUCAGGCUUUCGUAAUCAAUAGAAUAAUAUAUGCAUUGGAUGAAAGAUUGUUGGAGGCAUAUGCAUUGUUAUUUAGAAUCUAUGAAAAAGGAUGGGAGGACAGAAUGCUGGUGUUUGUCAUGGCUAUAGAAGCAUGAAGCACUUCUUUAGGGAUUAACCGAUAAAACGAUGAUGUCCAUGGUGUGCAUAAGGAUUGCAGAAAUGUUUUGAGGUUGAACGCGAGACUAAUAACAGAGGACGAUUAUUCAAAACCUGCAGUAAUAAUUGUGGAAUUUUGAUUGGGUUGUGAAUGAAGAAUCAAGCGAUGAAUCAAAUAAUAUUAAUGAGUCAAUUAAUCCUGCACCCAUCAAAGAAGUUGAAGAUUUGCCAACCAUGUUCGAUAGUCUAGCUCAAAUAGCUGAAAAAUGAGACAUUGAGAUUUCAUUGAACGUGACAUUCUGUAAGGAAAAGCGAAGCACGGACGUGAACAGCAAAGGAGAAGGCCAUGAUUCAUGUGUAUAGAAAGACUGGGAUUUGCUGUUUUUUAAACUAUGUGUUUUUUGUUGGAAACUAUGAUCCUUUAAUGGCACGGUAGACUUAUAUUUUGUAGAGAUAACUUUUGCUCUUGCCGUAUGGUAGUCUUCAGUUAUUUUCAAUGAUAGUUUGUAAGGAUUUCAUGACUGCUAUGGGUAUGGGCCCCUUCUUCUUCUAUGGCUAUUAGUUUAUGUUGUGAAAUGCUUGUAACUCUUCAUGGAAGAGAACGAAUGAAGUUAAAAAUUACUGGAUGUCACUUGGAAUUUGUGGA